AAAAUGUUACAUUUGUCAUAGCAAUGCCUGAUUAUGCAAUUAAAAUAUUGCUUCACUUCUAUAUCCAUUUAACAUGUUUUGUAUUUGUCCAGGAAUGAGCAACCUGUUUUUCUGCAUGUAAAAUGUUUGGUUUUCACUCUUCAAAGAUAUCUGCUGACCUUCUGAAGUCCUUCCUGAGUGGAUUUGAUCGAUAUUUGCCAAGAUUGAUCAACUUGUAUGAAGCACAAAAGCAACGGAAAACAAAUCUGGGACAUGAUGCCAAGCUCCAGAGCCUUCCUGUGUCUUUCGAUUAUGUUGUAAGUACAUAAAACAGAAAUGUUUGGUAUGAUCAUCUGUUUAUGAAAAUACUGAUUUGCAGGUAUAAAUAGGUUAAAAGAUUUUUACAAAGUAGAUAAAAAAAUUUCAGCUGUUCAAUGUUUGUGUAUUUGUGGCUCUAAAGCCGAAAUGCUUGUUUUGGUGGUGUUACAGAAGUCCAACCAGAACAGGAGAUCCACUGCACUUCUUGCACUUCCAUUCAUCUUAAAAGAAGAUGUCUCAAACUUCAUUAGGUUCUCAGAGACCAUGGACGCUGCAGAGGUCCCAGCAGAGACGAAAGAAUUGAGUGUCGGCCUACUCGUCACCACAGACCAAAACACGGAGAUGGCAGCUCAGUCAAAGAACGUUGUGAAUGUUUCCAUAAUCUUGGAGGGGUGCAUCGUUUUGCGGGAGUUGUGAGAUCUACCAAAUGGCUUUGCAGUGGUGAUCGGACUACUUUACUGCCUCAACAUCGAUUAUCCAAAGGAACUGAAGUACACCUUCGAAUUCAUCCAAAAGGUAAUUAUGGACAUUGGGGGUAGUGCAUGCUCUGCUCGCGUUCAUGGACUGCGGAGCAAACUGCUUCAGAGAACAAUGUAGAGACGUUCUUCAAAAAAAAAGCAGGUGCCACAUUAUUUUUGUUUGAAUUCUCUAUAGUUGGAAUUUACAUUUUUGUGAACUGUUUUAGGAGUCUCCGUUUAUGGAAAGAUGCAAAAAUGUUCUGCACAAAUUCCUGUGUUAGUUAUUUUUGACACAUUUGUAAAAUGUGUAAUUGUAAACUUUGAAGUGUGUUAAGGAGAAAGCAAGUUAUUUGUUCUGUUUUGUGACACACACGCACACACACACACCGAAACAUCAUCCCGCACAGUGACAUGUGAAAAAAAAUGGUUCUAUAUUUUUCUAUAUUUCAGUUGUGUUACAGUGUUUAAGAUGGUAAGCCAACUGGUAUUACUACUUGCAAUGAUAAUAUGCGUAUAUCUCCAUAAAAUUUUACAACAAACAUUGACACAUUUGUGAGUUUUAAAUGUUGUUCUUUU
rnacentral:lncRNA from 1 species